rnacentral:rRNA from 1 species
CCUACGGGAGGCAGCAGUGGGGAAUAUUGCACAAUGGAGGAAACCCUGAUGCAGCGACGCCGCGUGAGUGAAGAAGUAUUUCGGUAUGUAAAGCUCUAUUAGCAGGGAAGAAGAAAGACGGUACCUGACUAAGAAGCCCCGGCUAACUACGUGCCAGCAGCCGCGGUAAUACGUAGGGGGCAAGCGUUAUCCGGGUUUACUGGGUGUAAAGGGAGCGUAGGCGGAUGUGGAAGUCUGAAGUGAAAGCCCAGGGCUCAACCCUGGGACUGCGUUGGAAACUGUGGGUCUAGAGUGCUGGAGAGGUAAGUGGAAUUCGUGGUGUAGCGGUGAAAUGCGUAGAUAUUAGGAGGAACACCAGUGGCGAAGGCAGCUUACUGGACAGUAACUGACGUUGAGGCUCGAAAGCGUGGGGAGCAAACAGGAUUAGAUACCCGGGUAGUC